CCACCUUCUGGGCUCCUUGGAGCUCAGAUCAAGUGUAGUUUCUGUUCUUAUCAGUUUAAUAUCUGUGCCACAACAACUGUUUUUCUGCCGAUCUAGUAGAUUAAAAACCAU
rnacentral:snRNA from 1 species